ACUCAAAUGAAUUGACGGGGACCCGCACAAGCGGUGGAGCAUGUGGUUUAAUUCGAAGCAACGCGAAGAACCUUACCAAGUCUUGACAUCCCUCUGACCGGACAGUAAUGUGUCCUUCCCUUCGGGGCAGAGGAGACAGGUGGUGCAUGGUUGUCGUCAGCUCGUGUCGUGAGAUGUUGGGUUAAGUCCCGCAACGAGCGCAACCCUUAUCUUUAGUAGCCAGCGGUUUGGCCGGGCACUCUAGAGAGACUGCCAGGGAUAACCUGGAGGAAGGUGGGGACGACGUCAAAUCAUCAUGCCCCUUAUGACUUGGGCUACACACGUGCUACAAUGGCGUAAACAAAGGGAAGCGACAGGGUGACCUUAAGCAAAUCCCAAAAAUAACGUCUCAGUUCGGAUUGUAGUCUGCAACUCGACUACAUGAAGCUGGAAUCGCUAGUAAUCGCGAAUCAGAAUGUCGCGGUGAAUACGUUCCCGGGUCUUGUACACACCGCCCGU
rnacentral:rRNA from 1 species